ACAAGCGGAGGAACAUGUGGUUUAAUUCGAUGAUACGCGAGGAACCUUACCCGGGCUUGAAUUGCAGAGGAACAUAGUUGAAAGAUUAUGGCCGCAAGGUCUCUGUGAAGGUGCUGCAUGGUUGUCGUCAGCUCGUGCCGUGAGGUGUCGGCUUAAGUGCCAUAACGAGCGCAACCCUUAUCAUUAGUUACUAACAGGUCAUGCUGAGGACUCUAGUGAGACUGCCGUCGUAAGAUGUGAGGAAGGUGGGGGAUGACGUCAAAUCAGCACGGCCCUUACGUCCGGGGCUACACACGUGUUACAAUGGGGGGUACAGAGGGCAGCUACCGGGCGACCGGAUGCCAAUCCCAAAAACCUCUCUCAGUUCGGAUCGAAGUCUGCAACCCGACUUCGUGAAGCUGGAUUCGCUAGUAAUCGCGCAUCAGCCACGGCGCGGUGAAUACGUUCCCGGGCCUU
rnacentral:rRNA from 1 species